rnacentral:rRNA from 1 species
ACAGAGGUGGCAAGCGUUGUUCGGAAUUACUGGGCGUAAAGGGCGCGUAGGAGGGCAGGUAAGUCAGUGGUGAAAUCUUCGAGCUUAACUCGGAAACUGCCGUUGAUACUAUCUGUCUUGAAUCCCGUGGAGAUGAGCGGAAUAUGUCAUGUAGCGGUGAAAUGCUUAGAUAUGACAUAGAACACCGAUUGCGAAGGCAGCUCGUUACACGACGAUUGACUCUGAGGCACGAAAGCGUGGGGAUCAAACAGGA